UUUUUUGUUGAAGGCCGUUUUGGAAGAAAAAAAGCUUGAGCUUCCUUUGUAUCUGUUUUCGAUGGCGGCAUUCUUCCUCCCCCAACGCUGCAUUUUGCCUCUCUUCCUCUGUCCUGUUGUCCAUUAACGACUAAAGGUGUGUCCUUUCUCCAAGGUUGGGGUUUUCACAUUGUAGAAGUUGCUAUCACCAUGAAGUAAAGGUUUUUGCAUGUUGUUACUGAUAAUGUUUUUGUUAAUGUCUGGGUUGUGUAAAGAAAAUGACUUUCGUGAAAUCCACACUAAAUUCUGGUGUUGUGUUAAUUUCUAAAGUGCGAUGUGAGUUGUUUAGAUUUAGGCAAAAAUAUGUAUGUGAUGAUUGGAUUCUAGAUAACGACAAUUUGCAAAGAUUCUAAGUGCUGCAAGAAUUAGGAUUAUUAUAGGAUUUGAAUUGUAUGUUGUCUGUAGAUUUUGAUUGUAUGAGCCUUGUAUAGCUUGCCUUGUAUAGCUUUUUAGUAUACGAAAGGUCAUGUUGGGUAAUAUGUACUUGUCAGACAUUAUUUGAGUAAAAUUUAAAUUUUGAUUUACUUUCCCUGUGAUUUUGGGUGACUUUGGGCACUUUUUGGGAUGAAUGAUUGAGUUUAUAAGUCAUGUUUGGUGUUUACUUCAUCAAUGAACACGUCUGGGCCUUAAAUUAUUGAGCAAAAUGACCAUUUAUGUGCUUUGCACGAACUGAGGUCAGGUCAAUGACCAUUUAUGCCUUUCUGAUAUCUUACUAAUCGAUUAUAAGAGUCUUGUAAUUGAUUACUAGUGCUGUGAGGAUCAUUUGUACAGAAAGCCACUUCCCAGUUGGAUGAUCAGCACUCCCCAUGAAGGUUUUGCCUUUGUUAUUGGUCAUUUUUUCCAUUUUAUGACAUGGGUGAGUGAGUUGAAUGUCAAUGGGUGUGUUUCUUACACCAGGUGAUGAGGUUAGUUCAUUGAUUUAUUGAUAAAAAUGUCCAUUUAGAUGUUCCAAAAAUGUCCAUUUAGGUGUUCCAACUCUUCUGCAAGGGUUGUUUUCCCUAUACCGCCCAUACCCCAAAUUCCGAUUAGGCAAGUUCCUUUUGAAUCUUUUUUUAUCCAUGAUUCUAUUGUUGCAAUUUUUUCACAAAUUCCAACAAGUUCUUUUGCUCUAACUAGGGGUUUAACCAACCCGUUCAGCACAACAUUGGCAAUUUCUUCAACCAGUUCAAAAUCAUAUCUAUAUGACACACAGAGAAAGUGCUGUAAAAUUAAUAUUAUUAGAAUUUAUUUAAAUUUACAACUCAGUUGUAAUGUAAUGGACUAACAAAGUAUGAUUGGUUCCAUCAGAAUAAAAUCAUAGUGGUAUUGGCUAAAAUUACAUUUACCAUGCAAAAGGGGUAAGUGUUAAGUAUACAUUCUGCUGAAAACAACUUAAUAUAUAAAGGUUACAUCACUUUGCAACCUAACCAACCAUGUAUUAUGUGUGGCAACAUGCAUAUUAACUAUUAACAGCUAGAAAAUAUGAAACAUAAACGGGAAAAAAAGAGCUUAAGAAAAUUUCAUCGACUCAAUUCCGGAUAAAUCAGCAGAAUGCUUCAAAGCGUCUUUCCAGAUUUGUACCUUGGUCUUAUAAUUUAGUUCAUGCUCAACAAAUGCAUUUUCAUAACUCCGCAAUUGAUGUCCUACUCUGUUGGUUGCACAUUGUAGAAAACAGGGAUCACAGUCCGUUCAUACUUUUCUCUGCACUCAAGGAGUUUCUCUAGUUCCUCUAAACACCAAUGAGAAGAAGCAUAAUAUGAUCAACAAGAUUUCUGAUCGUUCAAUUGCUAGAACAAGUGAUGGCCAUAUUUCAUGUUCCCUUUUAAGUUCAGCAUCUAUAAAGGCACAUAUUUUCUUUCUUUGAAAAGCAGCAAUCAAAUGGCUAAGAAGCGUGUGGCGGAUGUCCUCAUCCCUGAAGCUAACAAAAACAUCAUACUUUAUUUGAGGAGUUCUGUUCUCUGAGGACUUUUCCUCCAACCAUUACUUCAGUUUCUUAGCGCAUGGUUCUCUAACACUGAUAUAAUGUGUAUGAUAGGAGGGAAUAUAUUGAGAAGUAGUUGUGAAUUAGGUUGUUAAGAUGAUUGAGAUUUCCUUUAUAUAGUUGGAUAAUUUUGUAGAUUGAACUUUAACUCUUUGCGAAGAGAAAACCCUUAGAGGAGAGAGUGUUCUCCUGUUUUGUGUUCUUUCAAGUUUAUAUAACAGAAUAUUAAUCUUUGUGAAGAGGAAACCCUUAGAGGAGAGAGUGUUUUCCUAUUUUGUGUUCUUUAAAGUUUAUACAAUAAAGAAUAUUAAUCUUCUUUCUCUUUUCAAUUUUGGAUUCCUAACAAACACUGAUUCCAACCUAUCAGGCCUCAGUCCUUUAGGAGCCUCGUUGUCUGACAUGGUUUUACCUUUACACCACAAUGCAAUCACCUAGAGCCAAAAAGUUACAAC
rnacentral:lncRNA from 1 species